GAUGAACGCUAGCGGCAGGCUUAAUACAUGCAAGUCGUGGGGCAGCAUGGUGUGUAGCAAUAUGCACUGAUGGCGACCGGCAAACGGGUGCGGAACACGUACGCAACCUUCCCAAAACUGGUGAAUAGCCCUCCGAAAGGAGGAUUAAUACACCGUAACUUAAUGAAGAGGCAUCUCUUUAUUAAUAUAGCUCCGGCGGUUUUGGAUGGGCGUGCGGCUGAUUAGGUAGUUGGCGGGGUAACGGCCCACCAAGCCUGCGAUCAGUAACUGGUGUGAGAGCACGACCAGUCACACGGGCACUGAGACACGGGCCCGACUCCUACGGGAGGCAGCAGUAAGGAAUAUUGGUCAAUGGACGCAAGUCUGACCCAGCCAUGCCGCGUGGAGGAUGAAGGCCCUCUGGGUUGUAAACUUCUUUUAUCUGGGAAGAAAAAAGGGAAUUCUUUCCCGUCUGACGGUACCAGAUGAAUAAGCACCGGCUAACUCCGUGCCAGCCGCCGCAGUAACAC
rnacentral:rRNA from 1 species